CUUGGUCAUUUAGAGGAAGUAAAAGUCGUAACAAGGUUUCCGUAGGUGAACCUGCGGAAGGAUCAUUACCGAACCGUCGACACGAGUUGUUGCUGGUCCUCAAAUGGGGGCAUGUGCACACUCUGUUUACUCAUCCACUCACACCUGUGCACCCACUGUAGUUCUGUGGCUUGGGGGGCUCUGUCCUCUUUGCUGUGGUUCUAUGUCUUUACACACACACUGUAGUAAAGUUUCAUGGAAUGCAUGACGCGUCUAACGCAAUACAAUACAACUUUCAGCAACGGAUCUCUUGGCUCUCGCAUCGAUGAAGAACGCAGCGAAAUGCGAUAAGUAAUGUGAAUUGCAGAAUUCAGUGAAUCAUCGAAUCUUUGAACGCACCUUGCGCCCUCUGGCUAUUCCAGAGGGCAUGCCUGUUUGAGUAUCAUGAACACCUCAACUCUCAUGGUUUUGCCGUGAUGAGCUUGGACUUUGGGGGUCUUGCUGGCCUGUGGUCAGCUCCUCUCAAACGAAUCAGCUUGCCAGUGUCUGGUGGCAUCACAGGUGUGAUAACUAUCUACGCUUGUGGUUUUCCACCAGGUAACCUUCAGUGAUGGAGGUUCGCUGGAGCUCAUAAAUGUCCCUCCUCAGCGAGGACAGCUUCUUGAAUGUUUGAUCUCAAAUCAGGUAGGGCUACCCGCUGAACUUAAGCAUAUCAAUAAGCGGAGGA
rnacentral:rRNA from 1 species